UGGGGAAUUUUGGACAAUGGGGGAAACCCUGAUCCAGCCAUCCCGCGUGUGCGAUGAAGGCCUUCGGGUUGUAAAGCACUUUUGGCAGGAAAGAAACGUCAUGGGUUAAUACCCCGUGAAACUGACGGUACCUGCAGAAUAAGCACCGGCUAACUACGUGCCAGCAGCCGCGGUAAUACGUAGGGUGCAAGCGUUAAUCGGAAUUACUGGGCGUAAAGCGUGCGCAGGCGGUUCGGAAAGAAAGAUGUGAAAUCCCAGAGCUCAACUUUGGAACUGCAUUUUUAACUACCGGGCUAGAGUGUGUCAGAGGGAGGUGGAAUUCCGCGUGUAGCAGUGAAAUGCGUAGAUAUGCGGAGGAACACCGAUGGCGAAGGCAGCCUCCUGGGAUAACACUGACGCUCAUGCACGAAAGCGUGGGGAGCAACCAGG
rnacentral:rRNA from 1 species